GACGAACGCUGGCGGCGUGCUUAACACAUGCAAGUCGAACGAAGUGGCGGACGGGUGAGUAACGCGUAAUCAACCUGCCCUUCCGAGGGGGUCAACAGUUGGAAACGACUGCUAAUACCGCAUACUGAAGUAGGGGAUUGCGUGUGAUUAGCUAAUUGGAGGGGUAACGGCCAACCAAGGCGAGGAUCAGUAGGCGGUUUGGGAGGAUGAACGGCAACAGUGGGACUGAGACACGGCCCAGACUCCUACGGGAGGCAGCAGUGGGGAAUCUUCCGAAAUGGACGAAAGUCUGACGGAGCAACGCCGCGUGAGGGAUGACGGCCUUCGGGGUGUAAAGCUCUGUUAAUCGGGACGCGGUACCGGAAGAGAAAGCCACGGCUAACUACGUGCCAGCAGCCGCGGUAAUUC
rnacentral:rRNA from 1 species